CUGGCCGGCCACUGCAGCAUCCACUCACUGGUUGCGCCCUUUGGGCGCGUCGCACCAUUUAAUCUGCAUGAAGAUGGGCACGUGGGAGUGUGGAUUUAGUUACCGAGCCUUAAUUCUAAUGCAGUAUUCGAGAGUUUGUAGUAGAGAGGAGUGAGAGGAGUUUGUCAUAGAGGGGUGCGACGGUCACUUGCUUGGUCAUCCUGUUGUGUUGCUGCUGCCGUGUCUCAUGCAUGUGAUUGUGAAAUGCUCAAGCUUUGGCAGCGUUUCACAUGCAUGCUGCUCACACGCACGAAUGAUGAGGUAUACAUGGGGGAGACCGGCAUUAGUGCGUAUGACCACAUAGGCACGCAUACAGCUGUACGCACGCAUACCUGCAGGUACCGACGGAACAUUCACCCCGUAGCACCGCUGCUUGAACCCACGAUAGGCAGGCACACACGAAGAGUCGGCCCGCCAUGACCUGGACAUGAGGCAUACAAAAUGCCACGGUUUAGAUGCGCUGUUUGGGUUAUGUCGGGGCUUGUUCUUAUGAUUUAUGAUGCAUGAUAUCUGUUUGCCUUGGAUUAUAAUAAUAUCAACCUGCGAGGAGAUGGGACGGGCGCGCUGGGAGGCGUAGUUGCAGUCGCGCCCUGUCCAUUUAGAGGGUGGCGCGGAGGUACGGAGGCGACGCGGGGAUACGGAGUGGUGCGGCUGGGGCGCGGCGCCUGGACGAGGGGGGGGGGCUGAGGAACCCGAUAAACCCGAGACCAGGAAAGGAUGGUUAGGACGCGGACAUGUAAAAAUAAGGCGCCGCCUGUCCAUUUUGAGGGUGGCGCGGAGGUAUGGAGAUGACAGGGGUAUGCGGAGAUGGUACAGUGCUUGGCUGAUGGCAAGGAUUUGCCGCCAGCUGACACCCACAAAAUGGCAACGUAAAUGGAAGUAAGGGACAACCGCCAGCCGGCAUAUGGCAAACAUGUGGAGGUUUUGGCAAUGUGGCGAUGGUGCAGCGUGCGUGCAGCGGACGGUGUGACGUAUGUACGAAACGGGCGCAGGACGAGGAAACAGGUACGGCACCCAUGCGCACGGAGCGAGCGGGCAGCAGGUGGUAUGGGUCUUUUGAGAGCGUGUCUCAAAUGGAUGCCGCACGGAAGGUGCGCUCCACGGCAAGGCCUGAUACAGCGUUGUCAAACAGACGCACGGAGGCUCAUGAACAUAGAAAUGGGGUGUUGAGGCCGUCGGCAGUAAUGACCGGCAACGGAUCACGCUUGGGGAGUAGCGUGAAUGUCCUGGUUGAAAUGCCGAGUCGUGGAGAGUCUGCGGUGUAUGAUGAUUAGAGGAGGAAGUCGGCGCGCACGCAUGGGCUGUUUCACCACUGCAACGGAUGACAAAGUGCCCAAGAGGCACAAGGUGAAACGCACAAAACUUUGGUCGACUGGGCCAGUGCAAUAAGGCAAGAGAUUCAAUUGUUUUGCUAGGUAUUUACGGUACACACCGACACCUUUUGCUAGGCCGCUUGUUGGUGCCGCACAGCUAAUAAGCAAGCAAGUGUGGGUUGCAUUUGCUUGGGCAGGUGACGCAGGUUGGCCCAGGAGACGAGUCUAUGAAGUGGUUUGGUACGUUGCAUUGGGUCACCCGUUGAUGUGGGCCACGGGCGGGGUGCGCCAGCACUAAUUUGUGGACAUCAGUUGCACGGGGUGUGCGGAAGGGUGUAUACCAGGUGUGGACAGGCCUGCUGCGAGGCGUGGCCCCGACGCAACACGUGGCGUAGGGAUACGACUUAUCCGGUAGGACGUGAGGCGUGGCCGCACACUUCGCCCAGGCAAGAACAACGUGUUGGGCACCGUGCAGUGAUGGGGGUUAUGUCUUUUCGGUGGGGGUUGACGCACGAGAGUUGGCGAUUGUAACAUGCGCACAUGCAAUCGUGUGCAACGUGAGCAUUGUCCGUGGGGCUCGCUGUGCGUGCUGGGUGGGAAUGAACCAUUACUAACCAGUUUACUAACCAGUUGCUGCACUGAGGCUGUUAAAUAUGCGAUUAGCCGCGAGCCCUGCGCCCUCCCAGCAUCCGCGCCUCCCCACCUCCUCCUGCGGGUACUGUUGCGCGUGACCAAGCCGCAGCAGCGCAGCCAGUGCAGCAAAUCGGCCGGCACGUCCGCAUGGGCUGCAUGGGGCGGG
rnacentral:lncRNA from 1 species